GUCCCCUUCGUCUAGUGGUCUAGGACGCUGCUCUUUCACGGCAGCAACAGGGGUUCAAGUCCCCUAGGGGACGAGA
rnacentral:tRNA from 1 species